rnacentral:rRNA from 1 species
UAGGGAAUCUUCGGCAAUGGACGGAAGUCUGACCGAGCAACGCCGCGAGAGUGAAGAAGGUUUUCGGAUCGUAAAGCUCUGUUGUAAGAGAAGAACGAGUGUGAGAGUGGAAAGUUCACACUGUGACGGUAUCUUACCAGAAAGGGACGGCUAACUACGUGCCAGCAGCCGCGGUAAUACGUAGGUCCCGAGCGUUGUCCGGAUUUAUUGGGCGUAAAGCGAGCGCAGGCGGUUAGAUAAGUCUGAAGUUAAAGGCUGUGGCUUAACCAUAGUAGGCUUUGGAAACUGUUUAACUUGAGUGCAAGAGGGGAGAGUGGAAUUCCAUGUGUAGCGGUGAAAUGCGUAGAUAUAUGGAGGAACACCGGUGGCGAAAGCGGCUCUCUGGCUUGUAACUGACGCUGAGGCUCGAAAGCGUGGGGAGCAAACAGGAUUAGAUACCCUGGUAGUCCACGCUGUAAACGAUGAGUGCUAGGUGUUAGACCCUUUCCGGGGUUUAGUGCCGUAGCUAACGCAUUAAGCACUCCGCCUGGGGAGUACGACCGCAAGGUUG